UUUACGGUAGAAACGAGGUAUCAUCUGCCCCUCACAAACAUGGUGCCUCAUUGUACUGCUCGACUCACACAAACAUGGCGGCGCCCAUACACCACGCCGAUGCUAACAAACACCAUUUACAAACAAACAGGCCAUGGUCUUGACAGAUGUACAAAAGAAACCUUGUGAAUGGAAAUGACUCUGCAAAAUGUUUCACCGGUAAAGGGCUGGGAUGCGGCUCCACUUUUCUUUUGCCUAUUUUUGUUUCCAAGUAUUAAAAAUGACUCCCUGUAUAUUCAGACUCUUUAUAGAACAUAUCUGAAAGAUUGUCUCCUGUGAGUAAUGUUUCAAAGUCCUCUUGUUAUUAAUUUGCUACGUAUCAUUGCAAUAUUUGUUUAUGGAUUUUUGGCAUAGAAAUACAGUUGUACAGUUUGUUCUGUUUUUCUAAAAUAAGUGGCUGUACCGAAGUCCUUUGGAGAAAAAAAAGAUGUACAUGUUAAUGUAACAUGAUAAGAGUCAGUUUGAACACAGUAUUUACUGUUUCUUCAUCGUUGUGACACUUCAGAACUGAUGUGAGCAUGCAAGGGUGCUCUUAAUGGGGUGAAUAGAGCAGGCUUGCUUGUGGAACUGCUGUACUUGGUUAGCCUUCAUGGAGGACCGCCCUUAGCUUUUGUUUGACAGUAGUAGAAAUUGUGAAGAACAAUAGCUUCCAAACCCAUUGAUUAUUCUCCUGCAAUAUUGGAAGUUCAUCUGUGCAACCUGUGUGCACAACACCUGAGUAAAGACAUCUAACCCUGAAUGGACCUGUCCAAACACUUUGAUACAGUUCUGAACUGACCUGUCCAAACACUUUGAUACAGUUAAACAUGUAGAUACAUGGAGGGGCUUCUCUUCCUCUGUAAAUCCUUAAGUUUACAUAACUGUUACAAUCCAGGACACUAUUCAUCUUCAGAUCCUUAUGUCAGGUUUUUUUGUUUAUUAAUUUUAAUGAAAUCAAAGAUAAUUUAUCCUAUUAAUACAAAACUGGGUUUCAUCUUGAGGGAAACUGAAGGCUGCUUUGGAAGUCAGUGGUUAAUAUGGCUGCAUGUAGAAUCCUUUAUGGGAUAGGGAGCUCUUCUGUGGAAUUAUAUUUCAGUUCAUAUUGUAUUCCACAUUGAAUUAUCAUCACUGAUUUAUAAACCUGACAUUCUUCUAUAUUCUAAACGCUAUAAAGGAUUUGAUCUGUAACUCUUAGUAUGAAGUAACUUUACAGAAAGAGCAUCAUAGAAUAGUUUCAGUGUCUCUUAUACCGGAAUAGAUAGACAUGCUGUAUACAGAAUAAAGUCUAUUCAUUUAGAGUAGCGUUCUUUCCUAUAGUACUGUUUUAAAUGAAGUUACAUUCAGGUCUACAGUAUUGAAAUUCCUUAUCCUAAAGGUAUACUUUUAUUUAAACUAUUUUGGGUUCUGUUUUUUGGGCUUUACAAUACAUAUGCUUUAUCAUACUUUCGCUGUGCUUUAUUACACUUCUGCUUUUACCAUUAUAACCUUGUUAAAGGGUCCGGCCAGCUCCGAAAAAUAUCUAUGAUGGAGUGGCUUGGUACAUAAAGUACGUUUUAUAAACCUAAACAGCAAGCAACUUUGCUAACACUUAUAGGAUAGAACCCAAACCCUUUUCUGAUACAAUUGUGUACUUAUAUACUGUAUAUAGGCUACAAAAAGCUGUACACAAGUUACAUUGUAACUAAGCAUAAUAACAUUGUAAUUGUAAGUUCACAUGUAUUUACUAAGUAAAUACUGUGUAAAUGCACAGUAAUUAGAGACUCUUAUUGUAAAGUGUAACUACAAGGGAGGCUAUAUGAGCCUCAGUGCCUAAACAAUGCAAGUGCAGUGUAAGGACAUGCAAUUCAGGGCAUGUUGCUGAGUUAUGAACAGGGACUCGGAAACAGUGCUGAACAGCUGCCACUGUACUUGUAUCAAUCCACAAAAACACACAAAUGAUUAAGUGCAUCAAAGUGUUUAUUUUAAACCUCUUUUGCUCCCCGUGUUU